GUAGGGAAUAUUGGGCAAUGGAGGCAACUCUGACCCAGCCAUGCCGCGUGCAGGAUGACGGCCCUCUGGGUUGUAAACUGCUUUUAUACGGGAAGAAAAAAUACUACGUGUAGUAUACUGACGGUACCGUAAGAAUAAGGAUCGGCUAACUCCGUGCCAGCAGCCGCGGUAAUACGGAGGAUCCAAGCGUUGUCCGGAUUUAUUGGGUUUAAAGGGUGCGUAGGCGGAUCUUUAAGUCAGUGGUGAAAGCCUGCAGCUUAACUGUAGAAUUGCCAUUGAAACUGAAGAUCUUGAAUGUGGUUAAAGUAGGCGGAAUGUAUCAUGUAGCGGUGAAAUGCUUAGAUAUGAUACAGAACACCGAUAGCGAAGGCAGCUUGCUGAACCAUUAUUGACGCUGAGGCACGAAAGCGUGGGGAGCGAACAGGAUUAGAAACCCGGGUAGUCC
rnacentral:rRNA from 1 species